AUGUUUCGUAUGUAUUAUUUUUUUUUGCACAAAGAUGACCAUUAGACUGCUCAUCCAGUUGGCUGCUCUGCCGCUAUGUGUAGCCGAGCUCUCAACAAAAAGUGUUCAUCAGAAUCCUCCUGCCAUGUUCAAAGAUCCUGGAGAAAAGGUCCUGAUUAACUGCAACCAUACGAAUAGUGAUUUUACAAUGAUCCAGUGGUACAAACAGUUUGUACGGAGCAGUGAAAUGACUCUCAUAGGGUAUAUGCGAUACGACUCUGGGACUGUUGAAGAUCCAUUUAAAGAGAUUUUUAACGUGAGCGGGGAUGGGAGAAGUCUGUCAUCUCUUCAUACUGAAGCCAAAGACAACGUGGUGUAUUUCUGUGCUGCCAGUGAUGCACAGUGCUGCAUAAACCUUCUGUCUUCAACAAAAACCCUCUAACACAGUCACAAUAGACACCUGCUG